GGGGAAUUAGCUCAAAUGGUAGAGCACUUGCUUAGCAUGUGAGAGGCAGCGGGAUCGAUGCCCACAUUCUCCA
rnacentral:tRNA from 1 species